GGACUGGUGGCGCAGUUGGCUAGCGCGUAGGUCUCAUAAUCCUGAGGUCGAGAGUUCGAGCCUCUCUCACCCCA
rnacentral:tRNA from 1 species